GCUCACUUUGGUGGCACAUUUGCUAAAAUUGGAAUGAUAAAGAGAAGAUUAACAUGGCCCUGUGCAAGGAUGACACAGAAAUUUGUGAAGUAUUCCAUACUUUU
ensembl:snRNA U6 U6 spliceosomal RNA